GAUGAAGAACGUAGCGAAAUGCGAUAAGUAAUGUGAAUUGCAGAAUUCAGUGAAUCAUCGAGUCUUUGAACGCACAUUGCGCCCCCUGGUAUUCCGGGGGGCAUGCCUGUCCGAGCGUCAUUGCUGCCCUCAAGCACGGCUUGUGUGUUGGGCCUCCGUCCUCCUCCCGGGGGACGGGCCCGAAAGGCAGCGGCGGCACCGCGUCCGGUCCUCGAGCGUAUGGGGCUUCGUCACCCGCUCUUGUAGGCCCGGCCGGCGCUUGCCGACACAUCAAUCUUUUUUCCAGGUUGGCCUCGGAUCAGGUAGGGAUACCCGCUGAACUUAAGCAUAUCAAUAAGCGGAGGA
rnacentral:misc_RNA from 1 species